UACGGAGGGCGCAAGCGUUAUCCGGAAUCACUGGGUUUACAGGGUGCGUAGGCGGCUUGGUAAGUCAGAGGUGAAAGCCCGCAGCUUAACUGCGGAACUGCCUUUGAUACUGCCGAGCUUGAAAGAGGUUGAGGUCAGCGGAACGUGACAUGUAGCGGUGAAAUGCAUAGAUAUGUCACAGAACACCAAUUGCGAAGGCAGCUGGCUGGGCCUACUUUGACGCUGGGGCACGAAAGCGUGGGGAGCGAACAGG
rnacentral:rRNA from 1 species